rfam:Pseudallescheria apiosperma strain IHEM 14462 SEQ_SAPIO_0105, whole genome shotgun sequence.
GCCCGGUUAGCUCAAUCGGUAGAGCGUGAGACUCUUAAUCUCAAGGCUGCGGGUUCGACCCCCGCAUUGGGCU